UACGAGGGGGGCAAGCGUUGUUCGGAAUUAUUGGGCGUAAAGGGUGCGUAGGCGGUUUGGCAAGUUUGGUGUGAAAUCUUCGGGCUCAACUCGAAGUCUGCAUCGAAAACUGCCGGGCUUGAGUAUGGGAGAGGUGAGUGGAAUUUCCGGUGUAGCGGUGAAAUGCGUAGAUAUCGGAAGGAACACCUGUGGCGAAAGCGGCUCACUGGACCAUAACUGACGCUGAUGCACGAAAGCUAGGGGAGCAAACAGG
rnacentral:rRNA from 1 species